rnacentral:rRNA from 1 species
UACGAAGGGGGCUAGCGUUGCUCGGAAUUACUGGGCGUAAAGCGCACGUAGGCGGCUCUUUAAGUCGGAGGUGAAAUCCUGGAGCUCAACUCCAGAACUGCCUUCGAUACUGAAGAGCUCGAGUCCGGGAGAGGUGAGUGGAACUGCGAGUGUAGAGGUGAAAUUCGUAGAUAUUCGGAAGAACACCAGUGGCGAAGGCGGCUCACUGGCCCGGUACGUGACGCUGAGGUGCG